rnacentral:rRNA from 1 species
UACGUAGGAUGCAAGCGUUGUCCGGAAUUAUUGGGCGUAAAGAGUUCGUAGGCGGUGAUCUAAGUCUGAUGUUAAAGCUCGGAGCUCAACUCCGACAUGGCAUUGGAAACUGGAUUGCUAGAGUGUGAUAGAGGUAACUGGAAUUCCAGGUGUAGCGGUGAAAUGCGUAGUAUAUCUGGAGGAACACCGGUGGCGAAAGCGAAGUU